rnacentral:rRNA from 1 species
AGUCACUGACAUUAGAUACCCCUGUAGUCCAGGGUGUAAACGCUGCAGACUUGGUGUUGGAAAGUCCUUUGGGGGCAUUCAGUGCCGGAGAGAAGUUGUUAAGUCUGCUACUUGGGGAGUACGUCCGCAAGGAUGAAACUUAAAGGAAUUGGCGGGGGAGCACCGCAACGGGAGGAGCGUGCGGUUUAAUUGGAUUCAACGCCGAAAAACUCACCAGCAGCGACUGUUACAUGAAAGUCAGGUUGAUGACCUUACUAGAUUUUUCAG